GAACUGACAUAAAUUGCAUAAAAGGACUUCACAAGAACAGAACUAUGGAUGCAAGCACUAGUAAACGAAGUGAAAAUCUGAUGAGAGAUACGGUGACGGUGAGCUGUAGCAGCAACUUGUGUAUAACAUGUCUAUGGAAUUACUAUACUCGUAUUGAUCAAGGUGAUGACAAUUUUUUCAUACUGCCGAUAUCAGUAUGAAGUAAGAACAAUGUCAGAAGUUCAACUACAAGGCCCUCCAGCUGAAUGCAAAAGUAAGCCCACGGAGAGACCGUCCACACCGCUUAGGCACUUACUCAACUUGGAAGAGCGAUCAGGAUCUAUGGCGAACAGGACAUAAGGACGAACAAGAACAAACCCUGCACAAACGGACUCGUGCGAACAGGCAUAUGCAAGCAAUGUAAUGCCAAGUGACUGAAACAGAAGAGUUUUAUCUCACAGUCUUGAACUGGAAGAUGACGAAACAUUUCAAUGAAAUCUCUGGAAAUGACAUCAUCAAAUAAACAAAGACUGGAGUUCAGAAGACCAGUUCAACACUUCUGAUAAAAUUUAUCAGGCAGUGACUUUCAUCUUCGACUUCCAUGCAUUUAUAAGCACUAAAG